CCCUUAGAUGUUCUGGGCCGCAUGCGCGCUACACUGACGAAUGCAACGAGCUUAUAACCUUGGCCGAAAGGUCUGGGUAAUCUCCAAAUUUCGUCGUGAUGGGGAUAGAUUAUUGCAAUUAUUAAUCUUCAACGAGGAAUGCCUAGUAAGCGCAAGUCAUCAGCUUGCGUUGAUUACGUCCCUGCCCUUUGUACACACCGCCCGUCGCUCCUACCGAUUGAAUGGUCCGGUGAAGCGUUCGGACCGUGGCCUUUGGACGGUUCGCCGUCUGUUGGCUGCGGGAAGUUCGUUAAACCUUAUCAUUUGGAGGAAGGAGAAGUCGUAACA
rnacentral:rRNA from 1 species